AUGCCUUUAAGAAUGAACAAGUCCCUAAUAUUAAAUUAUCAUUAGUAACACUCUUCAGCUACUCAAAUGAUGUGAUUUUAGCUGAUUGCUGUAAAUGGAACAUUU